rnacentral:rRNA from 1 species
GAUGAACGCUGGCGGUAUGCUUAGCACAUGCAAGUCGAACGGUCACUUCGGUGAUAGUGGCGGACGGGUGAGUAACGCGUGAGAAUCUGUCUUCAGGUCGGGGACAACAGUUAGAAAUGACUGCUAAUACCGGAUGUGCCUUUGGGUGAAAGAUUUAUUGCCUGAAAAAGAGCUCGCGUCAGAUUAGCUAGUAGGUGGUGUAAGAGACUACCUAGGCUCCGAUCUGUAGCUGGUCUGAGAGGACGAUCAGCCACACUGGAACUGAGACACGGUCCAGACUCCUACGGGAGGCAGCAGUGGGGAAUUUUCCGCAAUGGGCGAAAGCCUGACGGAGCAAUACCGCGUGAGGGACGAAGGCUUUUGGGUCGUAAACCUCUUUUCUCAAGGAAGAUGAUGACGGUACUUGAGGAAUAAGCAUCGGCUAACUCUGUG